CUGCCCUGUACAGGAGGAUAGCUCCCCCGAAAAGGGGGAAGUUUAAACACUCCAUAAUAUUGAGAGGUGGCAUCACCAUUCAAUUAAAAUUACGAUGGUACAGGAUGAGCAUGCGUCUGAUUAGCUAGUUGGUAGUGUAAAGGCCUACCAAGGCGACGAUCUGUAGCUGGUCUGAGAGGACGACCAGCCACACUGGGACUGAGACACGGCCCAG
rnacentral:rRNA from 1 species